UGAGGAAUAUUGGUCAAUGGGCGAGAGCCUGAACCAGCCAAGUAGCGUGCAGGAUGACGGCCCUAUGGGUUGUAAACUGCUUUUAUAUGGGAAUAAAGUGAGGGACGUGUCCCUUAUUGCAUGUACCAUACGAAUAAGGACCGGCUAAUUCCGUGCCAGCAGCCGCGGUAAUACGGAAGGUCCAGGCGUUAUCCGGAUUUAUUGGGUUUAAAGGGAGCGUAGGCUGUUUGUUAAGCGUGUUGUGAAAUGUAAGAGCUCAACUUUUAGAUUGCAGCGCGAACUGGCAGACUUGAGUGCGCACAACGUAGGCGGAAUUCAUGGUGUAGCGGUGAAAUGCUUAGAUAUCAUGACGAACUCCGAUUGCGAAGGCAGCUUACGGGAGCGCAACUGACGCUAAAGCUCGAAGGUGGGGGUAUCGAACAGG
rnacentral:rRNA from 1 species